rnacentral:lncRNA from 1 species
UCCUCAGAUAAAGGUUUGUUUUCUUUCAAUUUUCAUUCAUCUGAAAAUUUGGAAUUAUUUUCCCUCAAGUCUCUCUCUUUCGUGAGAGACUUCUUUACAAAACUACAGCUGAUCACUGUCUUCUCCCCUUUGCCUAAUCUAGUGCCUAGCAGAGAGCAGGGGCUCAAAAAUAUUUGUUAGAAAUAUAAAGGAAAGCAAAGGAUACAUGAGAUGACUUCAUAUAGAGGCUUGCCACUCCCUCUGUGGAUACAUGGGGCUGAUCAUGUCCAUGUGAUUUCCAGGGGAAUAAUAAUUUUACAUUGAAAUUGAUUACUUUCCUUUUUAAAGAAAAACUGAAGAAAAAAAAGAGAUGCAAUUGAGAAUGUGGUAUUAGAAACCUGUCACUGUUUUGGCCACGCAGUAACCACAUGUCCUUGGAUACUGAUUAAGUCUUCUGAGAGGAUGGGGAAUGAGCAGAGAAAUCUGUGUGCUUUGUCUUGAGCGUCAUAUACUGGUGGUUUAAUACGUGGCUUAUUGUGUGAAAAAAACACACCCCGGUUUGUAGUGUUUGCCAGUUUCCAUGGUGUGAAUUCUGUCAUCAGAGACACAAUGUGACGUCUAUGAAUGUGAACUUGGGAGGAUAUGAUGACAGUUGGCUCUCGUGACCCAGCAGGAGCCAAGUUCAGCACAUCCCAGGUUAUGAGCAGGCAAGUUAACGGAAGAGGCUUCAGAAUGUCAGGAGCCUAGCUGCAAUGGCCAGUGUCAUGUGAAUUCAUCUAGGGGAACAAGAAAUCUCUCUUCAUGAAGAGGCAACAGCACAUGACCUCUUUAGGAAGAAAAGUUCAAAAGGUCCAAAUGGAAGCAGAAGUCCAAUAUUCUGCAGGAAGAAAUGAAGAACUCCAAAAACAAUAAGUAUGUGGGUAAACAUUCAACUUAUUUUUUCUAUUUUUUAAAAUGAUAAUUGACCAUAAAAAUACAAUUGUCUAUUUCAAGCAAAAUAAGCAAUGUAUUUUGGGGCUUACAACAUAUAUAAUAACAACAAUAUGAAGAUGGGUUUACAAUAGCCAAGACACGGAAGCCUCUUAAAUGUCCAUCACCAGAGGAAUGGACAAAGGUAUGGUACAUAUAUACAGUGGAAUACUACUCAGCCAUUAAAAAGAAUGAGAUAAUGCCGUCUGCAGCAACAUGGAUGGACCUAGAGAGUGUCAUGCUGAGUGAAGUAAGUCAGAACAGGAGAAAUAUCUUUUGACAUUCCUUAUAUAUAAAAUCUAAAAAGAAAUAAUACAAAUAAACUUAGUUACAAAACAAAACAUACUC